UAUGAAGCUGGAAUCGCUAGUAAUCGCAGAUCAGAAUGCUGCGGUGAAUACGUUCCCGGGUCUUGUACACACCGCCCGUCACACCAUGGGAGCCAGGAAUGCCCGAAGCCAGUGGCCUAACCGCAAGGGAGGAGCUGUCGAAGGCAGGCCCGGUAACUGGGGUGAAGUCGUAACAAGGUAUC
rnacentral:rRNA from 1 species